rnacentral:lncRNA from 1 species
UGCAAGUAGAUGAGAGGGUAGGACACAAAUCACAUUGCUCCUCCACAGGCUAGAAGCAACCAGAGCCCACGCCAGGACCUCCAUCUGGAAGCAGCUGAGGUACAAUUUCCUACCUCCACAGCUUCAAGCAGAGAGAAAAACUGCCCAUGCUGCCCUUUGCAGUAGUGCUCUGAUCACAAGGGUAGCAAACCCAACUCAUGGCUAGAGAUUUCUCACAAGACAUUAAAAAACUGAAAUACAGACCUGCAAGCAAUUUCCACAAAUAUCUAUUGUAGAAUGUAAUAUAGUGCAAUUGAAUAUAGUAUAGAGCGAAUAUAGUAUCGAGAUCCUGGUGGCCAGAGAUCAAAGGUUUCUCAAAAAACAAGUCAGCCAAAGUUACAACCAGCAUUUUCAUGACAACAAAUAAGCCAGCCAUUCCCAGAAUGGCUAAGACCUUCAAAAUACAGAAACACUGUGUGAUUCCAACAUACCUGAAGAUAGGUGCCGCAUAAAGAAAAGCUUUUCAGAUUUCUUGUUGGACACAGCCACUCCUCACAAGUCACCAGUGCACUCCUAAAUCUAGAUCCCCAGCUUUCCCCAUCCCUCACCAAGGACCACAAACUACAGUCUGCCGCACUGUGCCAGCCCCAUGACAGAUCUGAGGCUUAGGGCUCAUAGGAUUGUUUAUUCACUGGAGAUUUAAAAACCUGCAUAAUUCAAACUUAUCAUAAUGAGAAGGCACAGACUAAUUCUUGCUUUAAAACAACAUCUUCAAAAAAAUGGCUUGAGAUAUGAUGGUUUUCCCAGGUAAAGAAUCACACAGUGAUCAUGACAAUUACCUGCAACAAGUAGGACUGUUCAGCAUCAUCCAAGAUCCCACCACAGACAGUCAUAAUUCUUCCUGGGAGGAACACAACAAGCUUAAUGGGUUGUAAGUCUGGUGCACAAACUGCAUGAAGUCAAGUAUUAAGUAUAAGCCAAGUAGAGUAUUGUCAGAACUCAUCCCCAUAUGGGCCACCAAUUGUUGGUGUCAGUGCUUAGCGCCAAUUGAGUGGAUGGGAACUGACUGUCACUGUUAGUUUAUUACCUUACUGUAGGACUUUGAUACCUUCUCUCUGCGAGUUCUCAUGGGCAACUCCUCAUAGCACUGACUCCUUUUCUCUUCCUUACACAAAGCUGGUUGACUUCUUCCUGUCCCUAACACACACACCUGACCCUCACUCCUCACAGCAGCAGAGCCAACUGACUCCAACUCUUUCUCAACCAGCUGAGCCACUCUUUUAUAACCCAUCCUUACUGGACACAGCUGUGCCCUAUUUAGGGCAGGACUGUUCCUACUCUUUGGUAAUCAGUACAGCUGCAACUCCUCAGGGGUAAGACUGCCUUCAGCACUAUCUCUGUUGUCUCACAAUCCAUACUCACACAGUGUAUAGUCUAUCAAGCUGCAUAUAUAAAUAACAGUUUUCUUUAUCUGUUUCCUUACUGAUGACACUUGUUUUGCCCAUUAGAGUCCAAAAAGUCAAGGUGGCCAUUUGCCAAACGAGGAAUUGUGAGUAUUUUUACAAUUUUAUUUUUCCUGUCACUGACCUUGCCUUUUCCCACAACUAACCUUGGUAAAAGUAGCUCCUUUACUUUCUUGCCCUUGGAGAAAGGCAGCCAGCAGAUGAGCUGAACUCAGAGGUGUCCCAGCCUCCCUGGGACCACUUGCACAUUAAUCUGCAAUGAAGACUGGGUGGCUCCAGUGCAGCCAUUGCACGUGAUGCACAUGAAAACAGUCGGUGCCACUGCUCCCCAUCCCUGUGGGUGGUGGGAGGAGAGGUGUCCUUGGCACUGGGAGGGCAGAGUGGGAUGGGCAAUGAGAGCAGGGGCUCUCAUUCAGGGAUGGCAGCAGGCCCCAUGCAUCUCCCGAGGGUAAGGUAGCACAAGGUGAACAAACCAGUUGCAUUGUUGCUUUCACCAUCGUAUAUCCUGCAUUUUCUGUGUGCCUUAGGGCUUUGGAGAAUGCGAUGAACUGCCACUCACAUGGAAGGGAUCUAAGCUUUAUUUACACAAGCAGCAUUCCAGGACACUUUCUGAGGCCUUUCCUGUCCUCAGGGGUGCCCUCACACUCAACAGUGAAAGCACAGUGAAUUUCUUUGUCUAACACAAUUUGUUAUCUUUUCCACUUAUGAAAACUUUCACUUACUAAGGUAUCUGAAUUUUCUUUCUGUAUACUUUACAGCAUUCCAAAAAUUAUUUACAAGUUUCUUGAUAACAUUUUUUCCCAAAGCAUGUAAUUAAAAACAGUCCCUUCCCAGUAUUUUUUGCAUUUUAUCAAAGAAUAGUUUGUGCAUGCAGAACCAAUGCAAGUAUUUAGGUUUAUAUGUACAAGAACUCCCUCUUCAUUUGAUAGUAGUUUCAUAACAUUUGAAGGAGCAAGACCAAAACCUGAGGAUUUUUAAAUUUCAGCAAAACACUUUAAAUCUGCAAUAAAAAGCAUUUGAUAUUUAGACAAAAGUUAUUUCUAAGACUAUUAAAUGCCAAAAAAUUUAAUUCAUGAAAAUUCACUUGCUGGUACACUGGUUCAGUGUGCAUAUAUAUUAACUGCAUUAUUUUUUCUGACCUAUUUCAAUCUAUCUUUCAAAAUUAGGAGCUGAACCUAAACCCCAAGUUUCAAAUAUUAUAAUCAAACACAUAUUUCAAAAUUGGCCUGAGUUCAGUGCCUAAAGUUCAGAUAAUAUAAAUCCAUGAAGUGGGAAUAUACUGUUCCAGAGAACAGAUAAAACUUAAGCAAACACCUUAUAAGUCUGUGCCCACAGUACUGAAUUAGAGUUCAUAAAGAAUGUUUAAAUUUUUUAGAAGGCCUGAAUAAACAAAGCCAAACAAAAGCAAUUGUUUUUAUUUCAUGGUCCCUCACAUAAUGCCCUGCUGUUCUUUUAGCUUUUUGAAAGCUCAUUUUACAGACACUACUCUGCAGAUGACCAAAGGAGCUUUUUCCAUACGUAGCUCAAAAAAUUAAAAAUAAAUAAAAAAGCACAUAAACUUGUAUACCUAUGACAGGAUUGCAACUAUGAUUCUGUUGUCCCCUAUCUCUGAUAGUGCUAAUGGAAGCAAACAUUUCAUUUGUUCUGUCUUCCAAGGUUAGCCCAUUACCUGUUACCAAUGGUUUGCUCUGUCAAAGACUUGUGUAGUAUGUAAAUAAUAGUCUUACACAUCCAAACCUGAGGCACUUCCACAGCCCACCCACAGCUACAAAGAAACCUGCCAUCACUGCCUUGUCUCUGUGUAGAAGAGCUUGGAAAUAUAGAGAAAUCACUCAUUUAAGGGCAGACUCCUUAAGGAUUAGGGCAAGAGGGGUAAACUUCUUAACAGUCUUUAAAUCACUGUGUGAAUCAGGGGUGGGUUCUUGUCAUUCAACAGGGUAAAGACAAACAGAAGCAAGCCUCUGAUCUGGAAAGUUGUCUUACUACUGUUAAGAUCACAGACCACUGCACAGAUGAAUUUUUCUGCUUUAAGGUAUCAAAAUACUCAGUAUACUGUAUCAAGGAUAAUUAAGGAUGGAAGGAGAAAUUCUAUGUGCUUUAUAAGCUAACAUUUCUCUGUUCAUUAAUCUGGAUAUGAGACCUUUCUGUUAAAUGAAUGCAUAAGUAUAUGGUAUAUUUUUGUCAAAAUGACAAAUGGAGGGGCAAGUGGGAAACUGGGGGUCAGAAUAGAUUAGCAAGGACCUUCAAAAUCAUCUGGAUUUUGCCAGGGUUUCAGAUUGCCCUAGGUCUGGGAGGUAUCACCUUCAGAAAAAGGUCUCAAGACAACACCUACAGUGUACUACAGGUACUAGAAAAGCAGAGGAAAGAAACUACAGCAUCAGAGAGAUGUCAAAUGGCACACAGCUACCCCCAUUGCUGUGUUCAGAGGCAGCCACAUGCAGGUCACUGCCAACACCAAGGUUUGGCUCUAGAAAAGCCACCAAAGCCUGUCUGCCAGACAAACAAGGCUGCGGACCCCUAGCCACCUAACACCAUCCCCUCUCUGAAGCAAACCUUUUGCUUCUCACAGCAGGCUGUUAUCUGCAGCUCCCCACACACAGUUGCUGAGGGCUCCUGUCAGUGUCUAAUUUAUAUAUGGACAUGUGACUUCAGAGCAUGUCUCUAAUGUGAUAGUGGCCACCUUAGGUCUAAACAAAGCAAUUUCCAAGUGACUAUGACCUAGUCCUUUGGUACCUUGAUUUUAUCAUGAUCUAGAAAAUAAGAACAUAUCACCCACACAAGAGCAAAUUCCAUAGCAUUUGCAAGCUGCCCACUAAUUUUUGAUACAACAUACCUAAACACAGACCAUCCCAUUGUGUUGUUUUCAAAUUCAGUGUGUUUAUAUUGCAAGUGUUUUAGAGGAGAAUGGUGGGGUUUAAAAUAUUUUAAAGGCACUUUUAAGCUUUCAGAAGAAAAAUAGCUAAUACUGGUAGAUAAAAUUUACAAAGUAAAUAGGACAUAGAUUCUUUUCAUAAGGUCUGAAGCAGCUGAUACAAUAUUUUUUUUCUCUUUUCUUCAACCAAUAGAGUAAAUCUUGGUAUGAAUUUAUAAAUGAGCAACAGACUAAGCAGAAAGAUGUCAACAGCCAGUUAGAAAUGAAAAAAGAAGCAGCAGUGUGGGAACUUUUCACAAGUGAAUGCACUUACUUUCUGGAUCAUUUGCUGGUUCUCAAGAUGGUAACGUCAGAUUUCACUUCACAAAAAUAAUGAAACAUUAUUUGUUCUUCUGUGAUGGACACAAAGCCUCCUGAAACCUCUCCUUAGAGAUCUGUGGAGGAAUGACUUAAGCACCUGGUGUUUCCUUUCACCUUGCCUGCUCAUCCUGUUUCUAUAGCUCCCUUCUAUGUCUUUAUGAUGGUAUCUCUUCUAAACAUCACUUUUCAGUGAUGCAGUCUAGUGCUCUGCAACUACCAUCUGACUGCAGAGCUUUCCAGGAUAUUCAACCGAUAUUCCAUCAGUUCUCUCACAAGCACUGUACUGAAACCAUGCAGCAAACAGUUAUUCCUGUACAAUUGCUAAUAUUGCUAGCGUGCAACAUUAUAUUUGUCAUUUAACUUCAUACAGAGCUGUGGUUAGAUUAUCCUGACAGGAGCAUGAAAACCUUAGAAUUCAGCAGACCUGUAGUUUUAAUGUUACACGAAAACAAGUAUACUGAAAAUAACUCUGCUCCCAAAAAUUCCGUAUUACCUCCAAUACAGUGAAUUUUAAGAGUUUGAAAUAUAGACAGGAAUAUUACAGACUGUUACAAGAAUAGCUGCACUAAUUAUAUUCACCACACAUCAAAAGUUAGUGUAUCCAUUCAAAAGGAUAGAAGCUUCCACAAAUCAUUUUUCUCUUAGUCGGCACAAACAAUUUCUGAUUUCUUAUUAAGUCAAAGAAAAGAGAUUUGUGAAACAUUUUCUAUGUUGCUGAAAAGUUAUCCUGCACAAUACAAGAGCAAAGUAAGGGAAAUAAAUAGAGGAGUGGGCUGAAUUCUUCCUUGGUGGGGCAGAACAGGAAGGGACAGAAAACAGGAUAGCAGGACCAGCUAUUGGUUCAAGGCAGGACCAGAGCAUCCUUCUUUCUAUACGCUUUGUUUAGAAAUCUGAAAAGUUUAAAAAGUGGUGAAUACUAGGAAGAAUGAAGAUAACAGCAGGAAUGCAGGCUCCUUGUGAGUCUGAUGUAGGAACCCACAGACAAGCCUUAGCCAGCCCUGCAUGGCCCAUGAAUGAUGAAAUAUUCAAUCCAUGCCAGUUUCCCAAACUCGCCUGCUAAAGAAAGAGCCCAUUGCAUUUGGGUAACCAGUUUUAAAGAUAUAUGCUUACUUCCAAGUAUAGAAAUAUUCCACUGAUUUUCAUGAAUCUCCACAGGGAGCUUUUAGACCCACCAUAAAGCCACUUUAAGCUCUCAGGACAACCAGGUCAUGGUAACUGAAGAAUUGCACAAGGCUAAGCAAACACUCUCACUAAUUAUUCAGUCUUGGCACCUGGAUGACAGGUUUUUUCAUGAUGCUUAUACACAUAAACAAAAAAAAAAAAUCUACUCAGUAACCUAUAAGUUUUAAGAUGUUUUCAGAUUUAGGUCAGAUUCAGCACAACUCAAUUAGAUUAAAAAAAUAUAAAAUCUUAAACAGCCAAUAAAUACACACACAGUUUUCACUGAAUACAGGCUAAUAAAACAAUCCAAAGAGAUUAAAAUCCUCCAUAGGACCUCUACUUACCUUAAUCCAAG